CGAAAAGCCCUUCCGUCUCUAAUUUUUCUUGCCUUUGUUCGACUCUUAACCCUAACCCCUCUUCUUCCCGGUAAAAUUUUUCGUUCUUUUUUGGCGGAAAAUUGAUCGAGGAAACAAGAAUGCAACAUCAGAGAUUGAAGCAACAACAACAACAAGCUUUGAUGCAGCAAGCUUUGCUUCAACAACAGUCGCUUUACCAUCCUGGUCUCUUAGCUCAUCCUCAGCUUGAACCAAUUCCAAGUGGGAAUUUACCACCGGGGUUUGAUCCAAGUACCUGCCGCAGUGUGUACGUAGGAAAUGUACAUACACAGGUAACAGAACCACUUCUUCAAGAGGUUUUUGGGAGCACAGGCCUUGUUGAAAACUGCAAGCUUGUCAGAAAGGAGAAGUCAUCCUAUGGAUUUAUUCACUAUUUUGAUCGCAGAUCGGCUGCUAUGGCUAUUUUGUCACUUAAUGGAAGGCAUUUGUUUGGGCAGCCUAUCAAAGUAAAUUGGGCUUAUGCUAGUGGUCAGAGAGAGGACACAUCAGGUCAUUUCAACAUCUUUGUGGGUGAUCUUAGCCCUGAAGUUACUGAUUCUACUUUGUUUGCAUGCUUUUCUGUUUUCCCUAG
rnacentral:misc_RNA from 1 species